rnacentral:lncRNA from 1 species
GUGACUCGAAGAAGCCUUCCAAAAAGCGUGUGAAAAGGGAGCCCUCCUCUACUACCAAGGUGACUUCAGGGAGCACAUUCAAUGCCAGUGAAGAGAUCACUAUUCACCAUGCAAGGGAGUUCCAGCACCCUCUAUGCCUGGAAUUACCCAUGGCCUGCAGAGAUCCCAAACGCCAUCCCUCACAUAAGAGAGCCCUCAUGAUCUCAAAUCCAGAGAAUACAAGAAGAUAUGCUGUGCACACCAACCAGUGUCGGAGACCUCAUGGCUCCCCGGUAAAGAAGAAGAGGUACCCACAAGAAGAUGACUUCCAUCAUACAGUCUUCAGCAACCUUGAAAGAUUGGACAAGCUUCAGCCCACUCUUGAAGCCUCUGAGGAGUCUCUAGUUCACAAGGACAGAGGAGAUGGAGAGAGGCCAGUCAACGCGAGGGUGGUGCAGGUGGCCCCUCUGAGGUGUGAAUCUA